GAUGGAUUUAGGAACAAAGGGACCUCCUAUAUGGUUCUUCUUGUUCUCUGCCUCCCCUUGUCUCAGUAUGGGUCCAGUGUGCUCUGGCAGGACAAGCGGUUGUGGGGAGGGGAGGGAUAGCGAUGCGAAAAUGCUGGCAGAUGGCCACUGCUAACAGGGGUUCUGAAAUUACUUCCAGCCACACGGCCUCCCCACCUUUCUCCCUGGUCAUGGAGCCAGGAAAAGAAAGGAGUUUGUAUGGCUUCAGGACCCUCAACUUGAACUCUGCCUCAAACCCUUGUCCAUUUUUCUUCCUUGGAGAGCAGUAGGAUACUAUUUUGAGACAUGAAGGCCCUUCAUUUCUGUGUUCUCAUUACCUUCCCCAUUACAGAGACUUCCCAGGUAGAGGACUUCCUAGGAUAGCUUUCUUCUAGUGUAAGUACUGGAGCUAGAGGGAGAUAGCCCAGAAUUGAGUCUGCAUGGAUUUUUUUUUUCAUUGAAAUUUACCCAAGUAAUACGUACACAUAAGUAAAAGCAAACUAUUCCUGAAGGAUUUAUGAUGAAAUCAAAAGCUGAAAAUCUGUCCCCACUUCUUUCUUCGUCAUAUAGCAGCUUUAUGUAUCAGACUUCUGAGGUAAAUUUAAAUUAGGAUAAUUUUUCUUUUUUUUUUUUUUUUUUUAAGACAGAGUUUCAUCUUGUUGCCCAGGCUGGAGUGCAGUGGCGCAAACUUACCUCACUGCAACCUCCGCCUCCUGGAUUCAAGCGAUUGUCCUGCCUCCUCAUCCUGAGUAGCUGGGAUUACAGGCAUGCACUACCAUGCCCAGCUAAUUUUUAUAUUUUUAGUAGAGAUGGGGUUUCACCAUGUUGGUCAGGCUGGUCUCGAACUCCUGACCUUAGGUGAUCCACCUGCCUCUGCCUCCCGAAGUGCUGGGAUUAUAGGCAUGAGCCACUGUGCCCGGCCUCAGUAUUUAUUUGAUAGAUUUAUAUUGGAUUCACUUUUUUUUUUUUUUUUUUUUUUGAGAUGGAGUCUCACUCUGUUGCCCAGGCUGGAGUGCAGUGGUGCGAUCCCGGCUCACUGCAACCUCCACUUCCCAGGUUCAAGUGAGUGUUCUGCCUCAGCCUCCUGAGUAGCUGGGACUACAGGCACACGCAAGCACACCCAGCUAAUUUUUGUAUUUUUAGUAGAGACGGGGUUUCACCAUAUGGGCCAGGCUGGUCUCGAACUCCUGACCUUGUGAUCCACCCAUCUUGGUCUCCCAAAGUGCUGGGAUUAAAGGCGCGAGCCACUGUGCCCGCCCUGGAUUCACUUUCUAUAGGCCAAUUAGAUAGUACAUUAUAUUUGUAUUUUCUUCAGGGUGAUCAACGCCAAAAGCUUGUGAUGGAUUAAAAUAGCCACAAAUUCCAGUACAUGUUUGAAUCUGUGCUGCCAUUGUGACUUGCUUUGACCAAUAAAUGCAGCAGAAGUGGCACUGUGUGACUUUGAGCUUCGGCCGCUUGAAAUCUCUACUCUCAGGCUUUUUGUGAACACUGUCACCUUGUGAACAAGCUUGAACUAGCCUACUUGAGGAUGAGACCCUUGGAAGAGAGAGUGAUCAAUGGAAAAUGCCUCACUUGCUCAGCUGUUACAACCAUCUCAGCUGAAACUCCUGUGCGUGAGGUCAGCCUGGCUGUGUGCUGUGUGCAAAUGCAUGUCGCCACAGAGCAGAACUACCAUUGAGCGGAGCCUAGAUUAAGUUGCCAAACUAAAGAAUGGGAGCAAAUAAUCGCUUGGUUCAAGUCACCAAGUUUCAGGGUGGUUUGUUAUUCAGCAAUAGAUGUGGAUACAAACCUAAUAAUGUCCUCAAACCUAGUUAAUAAAAAAGAAGCAUUUUCAACGAACAAAUGAGCAACUGUACCUAGAAGUGACUUACUCCAUGCCCAACGGGGGGUUAGUGGGUACAUGGGACAGUUACACAUUGUUCUCCUUUGUUGAACAGUCUCUUGUCCACGUUCCCAUGCUGAAAAAUUUUAACACAUUUCUCAGAAUUAGCUUUACAUAAAGCUUUAUUUAUCUAAUGAAAAAGCUAGUGUUUCAGUAAAAUACAUCUUUUAUCUGGUAUUUUAAAGGAAAGCAGCCCCAUUUCUCUAAUUUGCCUUCCUGUUGAGUAUUUCACCAUAGUUUUUUUUUUUUUUUUUAAGACAGAGAUUCGCUCUUGUUGCCCAGGCGGGAGUGCAAUGGUGCGAUCUCAGCUCACUGCAACCUCCGCCUCCUGGGUUCAAGUGAUUCUCCUGCCUCAGUCUCCUGAGUAAGUUGGGAUUAUAGGCGCCCGCCACCAUGCCCGACUAAUUUUGUAUUUUUAAUAGAGAUGGGGUUUCUCCACGUUGGUGAGGCUGGUCUCAAACUCCCAACCUCAGGUGAUCUGUCUGCCUUGGCCUCCCAAAAUGCUGGGAUUACAGGCGUGAGCCACCAUGCCUGGCCUCACCACAGAGUUUAAAGUCGAAGACAGGGAAAAAAAAGAUAAAUCUAUUUAGGUCAAAUGCUAAAUGCCGAGCAAAACUUGCAAUAAUAGAAAGCUUUUAAUUGGACAACCCAGUAACUCCUGUUUAGGGAAAGUCAGUAAGAUGUAGCAAGAAACAGGCAACUGGAUUGAGAGCUACACAAGUAGGAAAAGCAGGGGCAUUUAAACAAGUUCAGGGCCAAACUAACAAAUUGGUUUUUGAGGCUUUUUGAUUUGCAAGUAAACGGGGAUCACCGGUUCUAAUCUCAUGAGUAGGAUUAGGAUGAAAAAUUACAGUCUCUUUUCUAUGAUAGUUUAGUGUAAUUUUUGGAUGUUUGCUUCCCAAAUUUUCUGUAUAUCGAAUUUACUAUUUUCUUAAUCAGAAUUGUGGGUAAGGAUCUCCAUGCAUGCUGUGAUCUGUCCGUGGUACUUGGCAAGCUCACCAGCAAUGUGAAAGAUUCCCAGCCAGCCAGGGAAGCACAGUCCAUUUAAAGCCAUCUGAGGUGGUGAGAGAGCAUGGAAAUCACCCUGGGAUACCUGUUUUGGUUUGGGCAGCAGUGCUGAAGUAAGACAGCAGGGGCACAGCACAUCACACACACACACACACUGCUCUGAGACAAAUGCUCAGGGAGAAAUUAUAUAUGGUAGAAUUCAAAGGAAGCCAGAAGGAGAUUAAGUGGUAGUUGUCCAGAAUUCCCAAGAGAAUUGUGCUAUUAUCUUUGAAGGUCUUCAAAGUAGGUUUCCUUCCUAAGGUUGAAAAAUUCUCACCUUUAGAUUUGUUGAUGGGUUUUAGUAUAUAGAGGAAUUACUGUGCAGUGGUUGAAGACAUGGAUACUGAUGGAACUGUUCUUUUUUUUUCUUUUUUUUGAGACGGAGUCUCACUCUGUUGCCCAAGCUGGAGUGUAGUGUCGUGAUCUCAGCUCACUGCAACCUCCGCCUCCCGGGUUCAAGGGAUUCUCCCUGCUUCAGCCUCAUGAGUAGCUGGGAUUACAGGUGCCCGCCACUAUGCCCGGUUAAUUUUUGUAUUUUUAGUAGAGACGUGGUUUCACCAUCUUGGCCAGGCUGGUCUUGAACUCCUGACCUCGUGAUCUACCCACCUCAGCCUCCCAAAGUGCUGGGAUUACAGGCCACUGUGCCCGGCCAGAACUGUUCUAUAUUGUGAUUAUGGUGGUCAUUAAACAAACAUAUACGUGCGAUAAAUCCAUAGAACUGUACAUGAAAACAAAGUCUGUUACAAUUAAAAACCCCAGGCUGGGCACACGGUGGCUCACACCUGCAGUCCUAGCACUUUUGGAGGCUGACUCAGGAAGAUCGCUUGAGCACAGGGGCUUGCGACCAGCCUGGGAAAUAUAGUGAGACCUUGUUUCUACAAAAAAUUAAAAAAUUAGUUGAGUGUGGUGGCGCGUGCCUGUAGUCCAGCUACUUGGGUGGCUGACACGGAAGGAUUGCUUGAGCCUGGGAGGUGGGGGCCAUAGUGAGCUGAGACUGUGUCACUGCACUCCAGCCCGGGUGACAGAGUGAGAACAUUUUUCAAAAUAAAACAAAACAACAAAGCCCCACAUGAGUUCUGGAGAUAGAGUGCCUGGGUUUGUUUGAAUCACAGCUCCAUCACUUAUUAGUUAGAUCCUGGGUAAGUUAUUUGUGCCUCAGUUACCUCAUCUGUAAAUGUGGGUAAUAAUAGUAUCUACUGCAUGGGGUUGCUGUAAGGAUUCAGUUAAUAUAUGUAAAGCACUUGAAAGAGUGCCUGGCUCAUUUUAUUACUAUAUAAGUGAUAGCUAUUAUUAUUAUUAUAUGAGAAUAAAGGAAUAAAAAGAUAUAUGGGCUAUCAUAUGAGUAUAGCAACUAUGAGUAAUCGGAAGUCUGAAAUACAACAACCAUGAGGUACUGGCUUUAUGCAGGAAAGGAAGAAACUCUAUAAGAGGUUAGUGUAAAUGCUACUAAGCAAAUUUAAGUUUGCUCUUUCCCUGUUUUCCAGGGAAGGCAAAAACCAAGCAAACAAAAAAAUCCUCUCACUCUAUUGAUUCAUUCAUUGAAUGUCUGCUAUUUUCUUUUUCUUUUCUUUUUUUUUUUUUUUCUGAGACUGAGUCUCACACUGUCGCCUGGGGCUGGUGUGCAGUGGCAUGAUCUCGGCUCGCUGCAACCUGUGCCUCCCAGGUUCAACCAAUUCUCCUGCCUCAGCCUCCCCGAGUAGCUAGGAUUACAGGCAUGUGCCACCUUUGUAUUUUUAGUUGAGACGGGGUUUCACUAUGUUGGCCAGGCUGGUCUCAAACUCCUGACCUUGUGAUCCACCUGUCUCGGCCUCCCAAAGUGCUGGGAUUACCAGGGUAAGCCACCGCGCCCAGCCAUGUCUGCUAUUUUCUAGGGCUUACUGAAAGGUUAGAAAGGAUCUUGGCAGUCUUUCACUUGCAUAUAUUUCACUUCCAAUAUCACCUGACACGUGACGAUGUAUUCUCUAACGCGUCUGCUUGUUUUGUGUAUGUGUGACCUCAGUUUUUUCCAAUUUACCACAGCUACCAGGUAGAGGUACUGACGGUGUCUGUGAUUAAGCAUCAUACCUAUUACAGCAUCAACAAUGAGAAUAUUAAGACCAAAUAAAUACUCCCACGAGAUUGACUACACAGUAGGUAAACUCGGAGAAUUAUUUGCGAAGCCAAAAGAAGCUUUUGAAAACAGGAACCUGGGAAUCCAAGCAGUGGGUGUUUUGAGGAUGAUCCAGAUACACUUAGGAGUGUUCAGAUCAUGAAACUCCAUGACAUGAAGGAAAAAGUUGAGAGAAAACAAUCCCCCUGGGAGGAGGAAAGCGGCCAAAAGAAAAUGGAACAGCUGAGAAAGAAUGGAAGUGAUUCUAAUGCUCCACAACACACAGCCAAGUGGAAGGGAAGCCAGGGUAAAUGAUCCGAGCCCGUCUACGAAACAGCCCGCCUCAGCUUGCGCGCUGGGUGCUCACUCAGUGAAGCAAUAACAACUCUGUCAUGGCUGACACAGCUGGAGCUCCUCCACGUUAGUCAGCUGCAGGAAACCAGCCUAUGUCCAUUGUGCAAGAAGGGUCUGAACACUAGAGACACAGGCACACAAGAUUGCAUCUCUAUUCCGCUUCUCCUUGGUUGUUAUGGGAAGUGAGUGUCUCAAGUUAAAUAAACUAGACUCUGGGGAACUAUACAGUAAAGACUUAGUGAUCGGCACAGCUUGGCAUUUAUGGUAAUUAAAGAUACAAAACAUAUUACAACUUCAAUUUGUCUUAGUAACUUUGAAGAAGAUGUUAUUUUAGUUUAAUUAGAAGGGGGAAAAGCAGAGAGAUUACGUGUAACUUUUUAAAAUAAAACUUUGAA